rnacentral:lncRNA from 1 species
AAUAGUUGAGGAAAAUAUUGAUGGUGAAGUGGGGGAGUGGAGUGAGAAGGAAGAAGUUGAAAAUAACGAAAAGAAUGGUGAAGUUGAAAAGAAAAAAAGUGUGGAGAUUGAGAAAAAUACAAGUGAUGAAGUAGUGGUGGAGCCAGUAAAAAAACCUAGAUGGAGGAGUUCGAGAAUUGCUAAAGGAAAGGAGGUAGUGAGCGCUACUCCAAUCCAAAACCUUCCUUAUCCUCAUGCUCCGUCCAAAAGGGAGAAUGAACGGCAUUACGCCCGGUUCAUGGAUAUUUUUAAACAAUUG